GGUGAACGCUGGCGGCGUGCCUAAUACAUGCAAGUCGAGCGAACGGACGAGAAGCUUGCUUCUCUGAUGUUAGCGGCGGACGGGUGAGUAAUACGUGGAUAACCUACCUAUAAGACUGGGAUAACUUCGGGAAACCGGAGCUAAUACCGGAUAAUAUUUUGAACCGCAUGGUUCAAAAGUGAAAGACGGUCUUGCUGUCACUUAUAGAUGGAUCCGCGCUGCAUUAGCUAGUUGGUAAGGUAACGGCUUACCAAGGCAACGAUGCAUAGCCGACCUGAGAGGGUGAUCGGCCACACUGGAACUGAGACACGGUCCAGACUCCUACGGGAGGCAGCAGUAGGGAAUCUUCCGCAAUGGGCGAAAGCCUGACGGAGCAACGCCGCGUGAGUGAUGAAGGCCUUCGGAUCGUAAAACUCUGUUAUUAGGGAAGAACAUAUGUGUAAGUAACUGUGCACAUCUUGACGGUACCUAAUCAGAAAGCCACGGCUAACUACGUGCCAGCAGCCGCGGUAAUACGUAAGUGGCAAGCGUUAUCCCGAAUUAUUGGGCGUAAAGCGCGCGUAGGCGGUUUUUUAGUCUGAUGUGAAAGCCCACGGCUCAACCGUGGAGGGUCAUUGGAAACUGGAAAACUUGAGUGCAGAAGAGGAAAGUGGAAUUCCAUGUGUAGCGGUGAAAUGCGCAGAGAUAUGGAGGAACACCAGUGGCGAAGGCGACUUUCUGGUCUGUAACUGACGCUGAUGUGCGAAAGCGUGGGGAUCAAACAGGAUUAGAUACCCUGGUAGUCCACGCCGUAAACGAUGAGUGCUAAGUGUUAGGGGGUUUCCGCCCCUUAGUGCUGCAGCUAACGCAUUAAGCACUCCGCCUGGGGAGUACGACCGCAAGGUUGAAACUCAAAGGAAUUGACGGGGACCCGCACAAGCGGUGGAGCAUGUGGUUUAAUUCGAAGCAACGCGAAGAACCUUACCAAAUCUUGACAUUCUUUGACAACUCUAGAGAUAGAGCUUUCCCCUUCGGGGGACAAAGUGACAGGUGGUGCAUGGUUGUCGUCAGCUCGUGUCGUGAGAUGUUGGGUUAAGUCCCGCAACGAGCGCAACCCUUAAGCUUAGUUGCCAUCAUUAAGUUGGGCACUCUAAGUUGACUGCCGGUGACAAACCGGAGGAAGGUGGGGAUGACGUCAAAUCAUCAUGCCCCUUAUGAUUUGGGCUACACACGUGCUACAAUGGACAAUACAAAGGGCAGCGAAACCGUGAGGUCAAGCAAAUCCCAUAAAGUUGUUCUCAGUUCGGAUUGUAGUCUACAACUCGACUACAUGAAGCUGGAAUCGCUAGUAAUCGUAGAUCAGCAUGCUACGGUGAAUACGUUCCCGGGUCU
rnacentral:rRNA from 1 species